rnacentral:rRNA from 1 species
GGUGAACGCUAGCGACGGGCCUAACACAUGCAAGUCGAGGGGCAGCACAUGAGUAGCAAUACGAUGGUGGCGACCGGCGCACGGGUGAGUAACACGUAUGCAACCUGCCUUCUACUAUGGGAUAACCCGUUGAAAGACGGACUAAUACCGUAUAAUACAGGGGCUCCGCAUGGAGAUAUUUGUUAAAGAUUUAUUGGUAGAAGAUGGGCAUGCGUAUGAUUAGAUAGUUGGUGAGGUAACGGCUCACCAAGUCAACGAUCAUUAGGGGUUCUGAGAGGAAGGUCCCCCACACUGGUACUGAGACACGGACCAGACUCCUACGGGAGGCAGCAGUGAGGAAUAUUUGUCAAUGGACGAGAGUCUGAACCAGCCAAGUCGCGUGAAGGAAGACGGUUCUAUGAAUUGUAAACUUCUUUUGUGCAGGAAUAAAGUGGGUUACGUGUAACCUUUUGUAUGUACUGUACGAAUAAGGAUCGGCUAACUCCGUGCCAGCCGCCGCAGUAAGAC